AGGGGUAUAGCUCAGUUGGUAGAGCGUCGGUCUCCAAAACCGAAAGUCGGGGGUUCGAGUCCCUCUGCCCCUG
rnacentral:tRNA from 1 species